GGAGAGAGAGAAGGAGGAGGGAAGGAGGGAGGGAGGGAGCACGGAUCUGCGCCCUCAUCCAAAGACACUUCCUGCGCCACCCACACCAGGUCACCUGCUGCAUGAAGGAUCGGGACACUCUCUGCAGCACCUUGCUGCUUGCUUGGCAGAAAGCAGAGUCAUCAAUAAACAUCCACUGAAUUGGAUCAGAAUGCCUACAAUGCUCAUCCCUCAGAGAUGUAAGCACCCAUCCAGGGUCAGAAUGGUGCUGGUGGAAGGAAACAUGACUUUACACCUGAGCUCCGGCUCCCCAGUCAUGGUCCCCCCACCGUGGCAUGGAAGAUUUUGUGACACCAAACACCCUAGUCUGGCGAUGAUGAUAGAAAAUUAGUCUGUGGUUGAAAGCCCGUCUUCCUUUCCUAUAUGGCUUUUAAAUUCAAAUAUCACAUUAGAUUCCUAACUCUUACAAGAUUUCUGGUAAGGGAUAACAUAUCAGAUGCUGGUGGUUUUUAAGUUUAAGAUCAUUGUGAUAUUAAUUUUAAAAGGAGGCUAGAAAACAAGAGGUGGGAAAUGCAGCACGAAGGACAUCUUUACAUUAAGUUACCGAUGCUAGCCUACCAUUGUGUGCUCUGACUAGUGCCCACAGGAUGCACAAACGCUUGCUUUCAGGCAUCAUCCCCCAGAAGUGAACCAAAUGAACGAGCGUAAGAUCGUCUAUGGAGAGUGAAAUUAUAAACCAACUGAAUGGUUCAGGACAGAAUGAAUGUAGGUUACUCUAAGAAAAUGGAAGGGCUUACUAGUUACCUUUAUACUCAACUGACUUCAUGGAAAGAAUUAGAUUUUCUGGGGCACAUGGGUGGCUCAGUCCAUUGAGUGCCUGACUCUUGAUUUCAGCUCAGGUUAUGAUCUCAGGGUUGUGAGAUCAAGUUCCACAGUGGGCUCUGCACUGGGCGUGGAGCCUACUUAAAAUUCUGUCUUUCCUUCUCCCUCUAGAGCUCUCCACUCGAAAAAGAAGAAGAAAAGAAGAAGAAGAAGAAGAAGAAGAAGAAGAAGAAGAAGAAGAAGAAGAAGAAGAAGAAUUAGAUUAGCUGAAGAAAUGAUGCCUCUUAAAAAAAAAAAAAGAACUAAGAAGUGGUUGAAAAAAACUAAGAAGGUAGAGCUGACCUGUGCACCUGGCCCGGCCCCAUCUGGGGAAUGCAGGCGGUCCCUGUGAGGGAAGCCGAUACCCUUCAACAUCUGGAAUUGUUCUUGAAGGCUUCUUUUUCUAAUUACGUGCUCACUAGGCAAGUUUAAGACUACUCAACAGAAAUCCUACUAUCUUCUUCGAUUGGGGCUAUGGCUGGUUAAUAGAAAAAAGAAAAGAUUAAUGCACAGAAUUAUACACACAAAUC
rnacentral:lncRNA from 12 species